CAGGGAUGAGGCAGAGCAUGG
rnacentral:miRNA from 2 species